UGACAUUCCAAUUUUCUCCCAAUUCUAUUGGAAGGUCAAUCUUAAAUGCUGUAUAGGAGGAUCUCAUUGAGAAGAUAUCAUUUGAGCAAAGAUGUAAAGCAAGGGAGGGAAUGAGUCAGUGGCUACAUAGCGAGAGUGUCCUAGGCAGAGGAAACAGCUUCUACAAAAGCCCUGAAGCAAGAGAAUGUUUGAAGUGUUCAAGAAUAAACAGGAGAUGCAGAAUGAAUGGAAUUGAGAGUGAGUGAGGCAGUCGGAUACAAGAGAGACUAAUAUGGGGCAGCACUGAAGACUGCUGACAGCAGCCACAUGAGUGAGCUCAGAGUGGACACAACAGCCCCUUCAGAGGCUGCAGGGAUGGCAGACAGCCUGACUGCAAUGUCGUGAAAGAUGCUGAGGCAGAACCAUGCAGCAAAGUCAUUCCCAGAUUCCUGACUCUCAGAAAAUACUGGAAUGUCCUAGGAUUGCAUCAAGGAGAUUCACCAUAUUCUUGUGAAGAGAUAUGCCUUCCCAUAGCAAUAAAUGACUGUGACUGAGACAGACAAACUUAACAGCUGCACAGCAGAUGGCUCUCCGUUGUGUUUUAGACUGUGAGAAACUUGAAGACA
rnacentral:lncRNA from 1 species